CCCGGCUGGCUUAGCUCUAAAAUUCAUCAAAAUUAAAAUGCUAAUAUUUUUCGUUUUUUAUUUGUAUUUUGGCACUGCUUCCUGUAUAUACAUUCUUGAAGCUCGUUCUUGGGACGCCUAAUUUUACGAACCAGCACUCAAAAGGGCCGAAUCCCAUCGAACUUUCGGCCAGCUCUUGACCUCCCAGGUCGCUCUGGGCCAAAACACAUGUGGAUCCAGGGCCCAGACGACAGACAGGCAAGGUCUGUCUCUCGCAGCAUGUGGCCUGCUUUACUGCGCAUAAGGGAUACAAAUUUUUUGGCUACUGCCGAAUUGCUGGCUGAAUGGCUUUGCAGGGAACUAAAAGGACUGCGUGUGGCAUACGUGGAAUUGGAGCGAGAAAGAGUGAGGUGGCGGAACGGAUGUCCUGCCAUAACGCAAAGCAAACCGGAAGCGCCAGCAGACGCUGCUGUUUGUCGUUGAAAGGAGCUCGGCUAAAAGGAUUCCGCCGCAAUUUGUUUGAUGUUUGCUACGUGUUUUCAAAUAUGUUCCGCAGCUUCAGCUACCCCCGUCCUCGUUGACUGGCGACAUUCGGUGCCGGCCAAUUGCAGCAGCAACGAAUGCUGGAAAAUAUUUCACAGAAAAUUCUUCAAACUUUCCCAGGCAGACUUCUUUUUAUGCGACUGCGGAGGAUGCUAUAAGAAAUGAGCAUCCCAUGGCGUCUGAGCAUUUGUUUUUGUGUGCUGAUGCUUGUCUAAUAAUAAACUGCGUUCCGAAAAAGCUUGUAAAUAAGCUUGCAAUAAAA